AGAUCUUCAUUUGACCCAAAGAUCCUCAUCAUCCCUCUGAGUGUGUUGAGCUUGAUUGUAAUUGUGAUGCUGUUCAUCUGGUUUAUAAUGAGACACAAGCAGAACAAAGCAGAAUCAUCCGCCACAGCAAUGGCUGGAGAUGAACUAACAUACUCUGAAGUCAGACCCAAGAAAAAACGUUCACCCAAGAGUUCAUUUGGUGAAAGUGAUGUGGAAAUAAUUUACAGUUCAGUUGUUGUACGGAAGUGUACUGAAAGGGUAAAUAUUAAAUAACCUGAAACCAAACACACACUGUAUCUCACUCCCCGUGUUUUUCUUGAUAUCAAAUCAUUUUACUUGUUGUCCUGAUAUGACAUGUUUCACUUUGAAUUUGGUCAUAUUUUGCUUUUUCUCUCUAAUUAUCAUUUGCUUCUGUUCUCCAACACAGUGACAGAAAAGCCACGGAAGUUACAUACAGCACAUUAGCUGAAAUGUUUUAAUGUUAAAACUUUAAUGUUAAAGAGUUGUAUCUCUUCUUUCUGUAUCUUUUAUUACUGGAGUAUUUGUAUUUGCUGCUCUGUUAUCUUCCUUCAUUUACUUGUUAUGUAGUAACUUUUAACCUUAACCCUUUUAACUGUUUUGUAAACAAAAUAAUUCCUGCAUAGCUGCAAAUUUAUUCAGAGAAGCAUUGAGC